CACUGCCUUCUGCUCCCCCAGCCUCCCAGUUUGACCGGUCUCAGCUGCCAUCCAGCCCGUGUCAAGCUCUCCAUGUGGGCCCUGACCCCACCAAAAUCUGAGACGGCCUGUCUCUGCCCGGCUACCAUCCCAUCCCGGAACAUCCUGCCUCCUCCUAGCAGAGGUUCUCAGCCGGGGACGUUGGUGCUGUCUGGGACAUCUGUGGUGAUCACGUCUGGGGGUGCUCCUGGCUUCGAGUGGGUGGGGUCAGGGAUGCUGCUGCCCCACCCUGCCGCCCCAUGCUCAGGAUGGCCCCGAAUAUCAGCAGUGUCGAGGGGGGAGACCUGGGACUGGAGUUCACACUGAGAGCCCUGUGAGGGCAGGGCCUCUGUCCCCAGAGCCUCCCCGUGCCCCAUAGGGCUGGAGCUCGAGAACACUGGCUUGAGUGGGUGCUAGAGGGCGGGGACAGCCGGACGGUAGGGUACGUUUGGCCCAUUCUGGGAGCUGGUGGCCUUCAGAGUAUCGGGGUGCCCCUCUUCUGCCCAGCAGCUUCCCGCCGUCCAGGUUCUGAUCCCUCACAGGCCCCAGUAGCCUCCCCCUUGUCAGGUCCACUGGUCACCACCCUGGCCACCUCUCCCUGCACCUGCCCGAGAUUUGUUUGGUACAUGGGAACGGCGGCGGGCGCUUUGGAGCCAGGCGCGUCCUGCAGCUCCUUCCUUCUGUCGAGCCCUGGGAUUCGCACACAAUCAGAGCUCCUUCUCGUGUGGCACGGAUGUGCCAGACAGGGGACGUUCAUGCCCCCAGCUACCAUGCAUCCUGGUGUCCUUGGCAAGUGAGUGCUUUCUCCUGCUGUGGCUUCCUCGCUUGAGAUUGGAACAGGAGCGCACGUCGCGUCCCAGCAGCCACGAGUGGUUUGGUCCUUGACCGUCGUGCCUAACAAAUGACCCCCGCCCCCCAAAAAGUGGACUGUGGACUCCACUCUCCCCUGGCUUCCUACACCUUCCCAUCAGUGAGCAGCCUCCUUCACUGGCCCUCCUUUUCAUUAUUUAUUUGCUGAAUUUUUGUUGGUAACAGAUCUAUUCAGGUAUAAUUCCCAUGCCCUGUCAUUUACUGAUUUAAAAUACACAGUUCAGUGCUUUUCAGCUUUCGCAUCUAUCACCCUAAUUCCAGAACAUUCUUAUCACUGCAAACAAACCUUCUUCACUUUACCCAUCAGUCCUAUGCUCUCCCCAGUUCCGGCAACCACUGCCCCAUUUUCUGUCAGGAUGAGCCUGUUCUGGACGUGUCACACACGUGGACGCACACGCCGCGAGGCCUUCUGUGUCUGGUUCCCUCCCUGAGCGUCAUGGGCUCGGGGUCCGUGUCC
rnacentral:lncRNA from 1 species